UAUAAGUUCAAUUAUGACUUUUCGUGUCCAAUAUUUGACCAUUCAUUUUAUUUAAAAAAAUAUAAUUAGUAUUUUUGUUGUUAUUAGAUGAUAAAAUAUGAAUAAUAUUUUAUGUGUGACUAUUUUUUUAAAACAAAAUUAUAAAUUUUUCAAAUAAAACGGACAGUUAAACGUUGGACAUGGAAACCCAUAGCCACAUUUAUA
rfam:Oryza glumipatula chromosome 4, whole genome shotgun sequence.